CCGGCUCUGGCGGCAGCCUACACAUGCAGUCGAGCGGUAACAGAUCCAGCUUGCUGGAUGCUGACGAGCGGCGGACGGGUGAGUAAUGCAUAGGAAUUUACCCGAUAGUGGGGGAUAACCUGGGGAAACCCAGGCUAAUACCGCAUACGUCCUACGGGAGAAAGGGGGCCUUGGCUCCCGCUAUCGGAUGAGCCUAUGCCGGAUUAGCUGGUUGGUGAGGUAAUGGCUCACCAAGGCGACGAUCCGUAGCUGGUCUGAGAGGAUGAUCAGCCACAUCGGGACUGAGACACGGCCCGAACUCCUACGGGAGGCAGCAGUGGGGAAUAUUGGACAAUGGGCGCAAGCCUGAUCCAGCCAUGCCGCGUGUGUGAAGAAGGCCCUCGGGUUGUAAAGCACUUUCAGCGAGGAAGAACGCCUGGCGGUUAAUACCCGCCAGGAAAGACAUCACUCGCAGAAGAAGCACCGGCUAACUCCGUGCCAGCAGCCGCGGUAAUACGGAGGGUGCAAGCGUUAAUCGGAAUUACUGGGCGUAAAGCGCGCGUAGGUGGCUUGAUAAGCCGGUUGUGAAAGCCCCGGGCUCAACCUGGGAACGGCAUCCGGAACUGUCAGGCUAGAGUGCAGGAGAGGAAGGUAGAAUUCCCGGUGUAGCGGUGAAAUGCGUAGAGAUCGGGAGGAAUACCAGUGGCGAAGGCGGCCUUCUGGACUGACACUGACACUGAGGUGCGAAAGCGUGGGUAGCAAACAGGAUUAGAUACCCUGGUAGUCCACGCCGUAAACGAUGUCGACCAGCCGUUUGGGUGCCUAGCGCACUUUGUGGCGAAGUUAACGCGAUAAGUCGACCGCCUGGGGAGUACGGCCGCAAGGUUAAAACUCAAAUGAAUUGACGGGGGCCCGCACAAGCGGUGGGAGCAUGUGGUUUUAUUUCGAUGCAACGCGAAAACCUUACCUACUCUUGACAAUCCUGCGAAAUUGGUGAGAGAUUCCUUUGGUGGCCUUUCGGGAAACGC
rnacentral:rRNA from 1 species